CUACGGGAGGCACCAGUGAGGAAUAUUGCGCAAUGGACGAAAGUCUGACGCAGCCAUGCCGCGUGCAGGAUGACGGCGCUAUGCGUUGUAAACUGCUUUUAUAGGCCAAGAAACCUUCGGACGUGUCCGAAGCUGACGGUAGCAUAUGAAUAAGCACCGGCUAACUCCGUGCCAGCAGCCGCGGGAAUACGGAGGGUGCAAGCGUUAUCCGGAUUUAUUGGGUUUAAAGGGUCCGUAGGCGGAUCAUUAAGUCAGUGGUGAAAGCCGGCAGCUCAACUGUCGAAAUGCCAUUGAUACUGGUGAUCUUGAAUACGGUUGAAGUUGGCGGAAUAGGUCAUGUAGCGGUGAAAUGCUUAGAUAUGACCUAGAACACCGAUUGCGAAGGCAGCCAACUAAGCCGUUAUUGACGCUGAGGGACGAAAGCGUGGGGAGCGAACAGGAUUAGAUACCCUAGUAGUC
rnacentral:rRNA from 1 species